rnacentral:rRNA from 1 species
CAGCCGCCACGGUAAUACGGAGGGUGCAAGCGUUAAUCGGAAUUACUGGGCGUAAAGCGCACGCAGGCGGUCUGUCAAGUCGGAUGUGAAAUCCCCGGGCUCAACCUGGGAACUGCAUUCGAAACUGGCAGGCUAGAGUCUUGUAGAGGGGGGUAGAAUUCCAGGUGUAGCGGUGAAAUGCGUAGAGAUCUGGAGGAAUACCGGUGGCGAAGGCGGCCCCCUGGACAAAGACUGACGCUCAGGUGCGAAAGCGUGGGGAGCAAACAGGAUUAGAUACCCCAGUAGUCCCUGUCUCUUAUAA